CCUGUUCCAAGACGACUGUUGUGGAACACUUUAUGUAGAGUCAGAGCCGAAGGUCGAUGCCUGAUGAUUACGUCACAUAGUAUGGAAGAAUGCGAGGCGUUGUGUACUCGGUUGGCAAUCAUGGAAAAUGGCAAAUUGCGCUUUCUCGGUAGCCCGCAACACCUGAAGAACAAAUUCUUUCAAGGAUUCACUUUGUUGGUAAACCCUCCAAGUGACACGCCUAGUAAUGACUCGACCUUGGUAAAAGAAUUCGUGGCAGAGACGUUCCCAGUAGUGUACUUCGAGACGAGCACAAUGGCUUGUUGAAUUACCACAUGGGCAAUUCAAAAUGCGCUUGGUCUUCCCUGUUUGCGAUCUUAGAAGAUGCGCACAGCCGUUCUGUUAUCGGUAAUUAUUCUAUAAAGCAAACCACACUGGAUGAGAUAUUUUUAAAUUUUGCUCUCUCACUGGGAGGCUACGACGAUUAGAUGGUCGAUUAAUAUUGUCGUACAUGGGCAGUGUGACCAUUUAUUUUGAAUUAUAACUAAAUCUUUUUUAUCGUGUUAAUGAUUGUUUGGUCGAUUUAAAUUUUUCUAUCGCGCCUUGUGUACGCCACUAAAUGUUGCAUACACCAAAAAGAACUACCCGAAUGAAGUAAGCACGAUGCCAUGACCUAGAACCCAGUCUACUAGAUACCUGACUCCGCCGAAAUUUAUAGUUACGAGUUUGGCAAGCCGCCAUCUUGAAAGGUGGCAAAAUUGACGAUAUUUACGACUAAAAAGCACUCUUCCAACCUUCUUUUUUUGGUAUGGAGUCUGCAGGUAUCCACGAAACAUGCUACAAUUCCAUUAUGAAGUGCGAUGUUGAUAUUCGUAAGGAUCUCUACGCUAACAUUUUCCUCUCUGGUGGGUCCACCAUGUAUCCUGCUAUUGCUGACAGAAUGCAAAGGAAAUCACUGCUCUUUCCCCUCCCACCAUGAAAAUCAAGGUUAUUGCUCCACCUGAAAGAAAAUACUCUGUCUGGAUUGGUGGCUCCAUCUUGUCCUCUCUUUCCACCUUCCAACAGAUGUGGAUCUCGAAACAAGAAUACGACGAAUCUGGACCUUCGAUUGUGCACAGGAAAUGCUACUAGAUUGCUUUUGACGUUUAACAGUUAAUUAAAAAUAUAUGAUAGAGUUGGUUUAUUUUUAUUGUUUUUCCAACGCUUUCGUAUCAAAGGUCCGCAUUAAAAAAAGGGAAAAUAUUAUGGAGUUUGUUGACUAACGUAGCAUCAAAGUUGAAAUAAAUAAAGCUUUUGUUCGUUUU